UUACGGCCAUAUCAUGUUGAAACAUUGGUUCCCGUACGAUCACCGAAGUUAAGCAACAUUGAGAUCGGUCAGUGCUAGAUGCGUGGCCGCUUGGGGAUACCAAGUGGUGUA